GAUGAACGCUAGCUACAGGCUUAACACAUGCAAGUCGAGGGGAAACGGCAUCGAAAGCUUGCUUUUGAUGGGCGUCGACCGGCGCACGGGUGAGUAACGCGUAUCCAACCUGCCCAUCACUUGGGAAUAACCUUGCGAAAGUAAGACUAAUGCCCAAUGACAUCCCACGAAGGCAUCCGAAUGGGAUUAAAGAUUUAUCGGUGAUGGAUGGGGAUGCGUCUGAUUAGCUUGUUGGCGGGGUGACGGCCCACCAAGGCAACGAUCGGUAGGGGUUCUGAGAGGAAGGUCCCCCACAUUGGAACUGAGACACGGUCCAAACUCCUACGGGAGGCAGCAGUGAGGAAUAUUGGUCAAUGGGCGAGAGCCUGAACCAGCCAAGUAGCGUGCAGGAUGACGGCCCUAUGGGUUGUAAACUGCUUUUAUAAGGGAAUAAAGUGGGUCACGUGUGACUUUUUGCAUGUACCUUAUGAAUAAGGACCGGCUAAUUCCGUG
rnacentral:rRNA from 1 species